GACGRAUCAGCAUCAYGUGCCMUYUKUGGACCGUAGCAAGACGGACUACAGCGAAAGCAUUUGGCAAGAAUGUCUUCAUUAAUCAAGAACGAAAGUCAGAGGUUCGAAGGCGAUCAGAUACCGCCCUAGUUCUGACCGUAAACGAUGCCAACUAGCGAUCCGCCGGCGGAUUUAUUCGCCCUGGUGGGGAGCUUCCCGGAAACGAAAGUCUUCCGGUUCCGGGGGAAGUAUGGUUGCAAAGCUGAAACUUAAAGGAAUUGACGGAAGGGCACCACCAGGAGUGGAGCCUGCGGCUUAAUUUGACUCAACACGGGGAAACUCACCCGGCCCGGACACCGUAAGGAUUGACAGAUUGAUAGCUUUUUCAUGAUUCGGUGGAUGGUGGUGCAUGGCCGUUCUUAGUUCGUGGAGCGAUUUGUCUGGUUUAUUCCGAUAACGAGCGAGACUCUAGCCUACUAAAUAGUUGGCUCAUUGCUACUGUGGGCACAACUUCUUAGAGGGAUUUUCGGUGUUCAGCCGCACGAAAUUGAGCAAUAACAGGUCUGUGAUGCCCUUAGAUGUCCGGGGCUGCACGCGCGCUACACUGGCAAAAUCAGCGUGCUUGUCCUUCCCCGAAAGGGGUUGGUAAACCGGUGAAAAUUUGCCGUGAUUGGGAUCGGACAUUGCAAUUAUUGUCCGUGAACGAGGAAUUCCUUGUAGGGGCGAGUCAUCAACUCGCUCUGAUUACGUCCCCCCCYYUUKGUAA
rnacentral:rRNA from 1 species